GGUGCUGUCCUGGUUCUUGAGGCUCAUGUAUUUUAGAUGGUGAGUGUCUCGCUGGUGGUCCAUGCCCAAACUAACUUUCUCUGUUGGCUGUCGGCCUAAACUAAUUUCGGCAAUAUUUUUGUCACAUCUAAAUAUUCUUUUUACGAGGAACAACAAUCUCUGUGGGCAGCCAGCCUUCCUCAUAUUGACGCAUAUACCAGUUGUUAUCUUAAAUUGUAUAAAAGAAAUUCCCAAGGAUAUGCAGCAUGUUGAUUCUCAAAAGUCUAGAUAUCAGCUGCGUUAGCCCAUUGCAUAUUCAUUUCACUU
rnacentral:lncRNA from 1 species